rnacentral:rRNA from 1 species
CCUACGGGUGGCUGCAGUGGGGAAUAUUGGACAAUGGGCGAAAGCCUGAUCCAGCCAUGCCGCGUGUGUGAAGAAGGCCUUCGGGUUGUAAAGCACUUUCAGUUGGGAAGAAAGCCUUGGGGCUAAUACCCUCGAGGAAGGACAUCACCCACAGAAGAAGCACCGGCUAACUCCGUGCCAGCAGCCGCGGUAAUACGGAGGGUGCGAGCGUUAAUCGGAAUUACUGGGCGUAAAGCGCGCGUAGGCGGUCUGAUAAGCCGGUUGUGAAAGCCCCGGGCUCAACCUGGGAACGGCAUCCGGAACUGUCAGGCUAGAGUGCAGGAGAGGAAGGUAGAAUUCCCUGUGUAGCGGUGAAAUGCGUAGAGAUCGGGAGGAAUACCAGUGGCGAAGGCGGCCUUCUGGACUGACACUGACGCUGAGGUGCGAAAGCGUGGGUAGCAAACAGGAUUAGAUACCCGAGUAGUC